GGCGGCACGCCUAACACAUGCAAGUCGAGCGGUAGCAUGACUGGUAGCAAUACUAGUUGAUGACGAGCGGCGGACGGGUGAGGAACACGUAGGAACCUGCCCUCAAGCGGGGGAUAACCAAGGGAAACUUUGGCUAAUACCGCAUAAUCUCGGGAGAGAAAAGCUGCCAGCAAUGGUGGCACUUGAGGAGGGGCCUGCGUCCGAUUAGCUAGUUGGCAGGGUAAAAGCCUACCAAGGCGAUGAUCGGUAACUGGUCUGAGAGGACGACCAGUCACACUGGGACUGAGACACGGCCCAGACUCCUACGGGAGGCAGCAGUGGGGAAUAUUGGACAAUGGGGGCAACCCUGAUCCAGCGAUGCCGCGUGAGUGAAGAAGGCCUUCGGGUCGUAAAGCUCUUUAGGUUGGGAAGAAGGAAAUGAGGUUAAUACCCUUGUUUUUUGACGGUACCGACAGAAUAAGCACCGGCAAACUCUGUGCCAGCAGCCGCGGUAAUACAGA
rnacentral:rRNA from 1 species